GCAGCCAGACGAUGUGACGUACGGUCGCAAACUCCGCCAGGUCCGGAAGGAAGCAACGGUGAGCGGUACGGCGGGUACAUCGUCUGGCUGCUGU
rnacentral:SRP_RNA from 3 species